GACCGUAGUUCUUCCAAAAUGAAUCAGAUGGCAAAUGAUGGUCAUAAUCAAGAAGCAGCCCAGCCAAGGAAUGUCUUAGGUGUUCUUAAUCCUUCCAAAGUGAAUGGAUCAUUGUGGUUCAAACGUGAUUCAAUCACUAGUGAGAUAAGAACAAUCAUUCGAUCUGAUUAUCCUAGCCCAUAUAUAUCGAAACUGGUCAACUGCACCGCAA